rnacentral:rRNA from 1 species
GAUGAACGCUGGCGGCGUGCCUAAUACAUGCAAGUCGAACGAAACUUCUUUAUCACCGAGUGCUUGCACUCACCGAUAAAGAGUUGAGUGGCGAACGGGUGAGUAACACGUGGGCAACCUGCCCAAAGAGGGGGAUAACACUUGGAAACAGGUGCUAAUACCGCAUAACCAUAGUUACCGCAUGGUAACUAUGUAAAAGGUGGCUAUACUACCGCUUUUUGAUGGGCCCGCGGCGCAUUAGCUAGUUGGUAGGGUAAAGGCUUACCAAGGCAAUGAUGCGUAGCCGAAUUGAGAGGUUGAUCGGCCACAUUGGGACUGAGACACGGCCCAAACUCCUACGGGAGGCAGCAGUAGGGAAUCUUCCACAAUGGGCGAAAGCCUGAUGGAGCAACGCCGCGUGGGUGAAGAAGGUCUUCGGAUCGUAAAACCCUGUUGUUAGAGAAGAAAGUGCGUGAGAGUAACUGUUCACGUUUCGACGGUAUCUAACCGGAAAGCCACGGCUAACUACGUG